UAAAGGGUGCGUAGGCGGCCUGUUAAGUCAGGGGUGAAAGACGGUAGCUCAACUAUCGCAGUGCCCUUGAUACUGAUGGGCUUGAAUUGACUAGAGGUAGGCGGAAUGUGACAAGUAGCGGUGAAAUGCAUAGAUAUGUCACAGAACACCGAUUGCGAAGGCAGCUUACUAUGGUCUUAUUGACGCUGAGGCACGAAAGCGUGGGGAUCAAACAGGAUUAGAUACCCUGU
rnacentral:rRNA from 1 species